rnacentral:rRNA from 1 species
AGUGAACGCUGGCGGUAGGCCUAACACAUGCAAGUCGAACGGCAGCACAGUAAGAGCUUGCUCUUACGGGUGGCGAGUGGCGGACGGGUGAGGAAUACAUCGGAAUCUACUUUUUCGUGGGGGAUAACGUAGGGAAACUUACGCUAAUACCGCAUACGACCUACGGGUGAAAGCAGGGGAUCUUCGGACCUUGCGCGAUUGAAUGAGCCGAUGUCGGAUUAGCUAGUUGGCGGGGUAAAGGCCCACCAAGGCGACGAUCCGUAGCUGGUCUGAGAGGAUGAUCAGCCACACUGGAACGGAGACACGGUACAGACUCCUACGGGAGGGAGCAGUGGGGAAUAUGGGACAAUGGGCGCAAGCCUGGUCCAGCCAUACCGCGUGGGUGAAGAAGGCCUUCGGGUUGUAAAGCCCUUUUGUUGGGAAAGAAAAGCAGCAGGUUAAUACCCCGCUGUUCUGACGGUACCCAAAGAAUAAGCACCGGCUAACUUCGUG